rnacentral:rRNA from 1 species
UACGGGGGGAGCAAGCGUUGUUCGGAUUUACUGGGCGUAAAGGGCGCGUAGGCGGUCAGCACAAGUCAGUUGUGAAAUCUCCGGGCUUAACUCGGAAAGGUCAACUGAUACUGUGCGACUAGAGUGCAGAAGGGGCAACUGGAAUUCUCGGUGUAGCGGUGAAAUGCGUAGAUAUCGAGAGGAACACCUGCGGCGAAGGCAGGUCUCUGGGCCACUACUGACGCUGAGAAGCGAAAGCGUGGGGAGCGAACAGG